rnacentral:rRNA from 1 species
CAGUAAGCGGAGGAAAACAAACUAAACAGGAUUCUCUUAGUAACUGCGAGUGAACAGAGAUUAGCCCAAUAUCGAAGCUCACAAGCUAAAUUGUUUGUUGAGCAAUGUGAUAUUAAGAUGUUUGCUAACGUAUAGUGGCCGACUUGAAGUCCAAAUUUGAAUGUGGCAUGUUCAGUAUGAACUCCAAAGAUGGUGAGAGUCCCGUUCAAGUUGGUAAUCAGAUGUGACAUUAUGCGUAUAUGCAUUCAUCUUGGAGUCGGAUUGCUUGAGAAUGCAGUCCAAAGUUGGUGGUAAACUCCAUCUAAGGCUAAAUACCUGUACGAGUCCGAUAGUUAACAAGUACCGUGAGGGAAAGUUGAAAAGUACUCUGAAGAGAGAGUAAACAGUACGUGAAACUACAAGGAGGUUAAUCAGAUAGAGUCAAGCUGCUUGUUAUUAAGCAUUGCUUUACAUGUUAAAAAUUUGUAAACUAGACAUGUACCAUACACAGUGCAAUAGAAAUGCCAGUUUAUUUUUAAUAGACGGGUAUUAUAAUUGUUAAAUGUAGUACCAAGUGUAUGAACGUAUGUGUCAACAUGUAUUGUUAAUGUUGAUAACUAGUGCCACAAUCGUUUACUUAAUCAGAGUGCUUUAACCAGCUGUUGUUCGUUUAGAUUGCAAAAUUUAAAUGGGCACAUAGUUAGACAGUUAGUAGGUUAAUACUAUUUAAUAGUGUUAACUUACUUAAAAAAGGGAUUUCUGAUCCCUGUUGGUUAAAGCAUUUUUAAUUUCUGUGUUAGUAAACGGCAACAUAUAUACACAUUAGCUUGUAUUAUAGUUUGUUGGUUUUGGCAAAAAUCGAUGAGCUUUUAAUGCAAGUGUGUAUGUUAAUUGUGGUUCUGUGGUAGACUUUCUAUUU